rnacentral:rRNA from 1 species
UAUAAUUGUCAGCUAAGUGGCGCACGGGUGAGUAAUGUAUAGAUAACCUGCCCUUAAGAAAGGAAUAACAGUUGGAAACGACUGCUAAUGCCCUAUAUGCCUUUAAUACAUAAGUAUGCAAGGGAAACGCUUUAGUGCUUAAGGAUGGGUCUGUAUGGUAUCAGCUUGUUGGUGAGGUAAUGGCUCACCAAGGCUAUGACGCCUAACUGGUUUGAGAGGAUGAUCAGUCACACUGGAACUGAGACACGGUCCAGACUCCUACGGGAGGCAGCAGUGGGGAAUAUUGCACAAUGGACGAAAGUCUGAUGCAGCAACGCCGCGUGGAGGAUGACACAUUUCGGUGCGUAAACUCCUUUUAUAUAGGAAGAUAAUGACGGUACUAUAUGAAUAAGCACCGGCUAACUCCGUGCCAGCAGCCGCGGUAAUACGGAGGGUGCAAGCGUUACUCGGAAUCACUGGGCGUAAAGAGCGUGUAGGCGGGUAUAUAAGUCAGAAGUGAAAUCCAAUAGCUCAACUAUUGAACUGCUUUUGAAACUGUAUACCUAGAAUGUGGGAGAGGUAGAUGGAAUUUCUGGUGUAGGGGUAAAAUCCGUGGAGAUCAGAAGGAAUACCGAUUGCGAAGGCGAUCUACUGGAACAUUAUUGACGCUGAGACGCGAAAGCGUGGGGAGCAAACAGGAUUAGAUACCCUGGUAGUCCACGCCCUAAACGAUGUACACUAGUUGUUGUGAGGCUCGACCUUGCAGUAAUGCAGUUAACACAUUAAGUGUACCGCCUGGGGAGUACGGUCGCAAGAUUAAAA